UACGUGCCCAGCAGCCCGCGGGUAAUACGUAGGGCGCAAGCGUUGUCCAGGAAUUAUUGGGCGUAAAAGAGCUCGUAGGGCGGCUUGUCACGUCGGAUGUGAAAGCCCGGGGCUUAACCCCCGGGUCUGCAUUCGAUACGGGCUAGCUAGAGUGUGGUAGGGGAGAUCGGAAUUCCUGGUGUAGCGGUGAAAUGCGCAGAUAUCAGGAGGAACACCGGUGGCGAAGGCGGAUCUCUGGGCCAUUACUGACGCUGAGGAGCGAAAGCGUGGGGAGCGAACAGGAUUAGAUACCCUGGUAGUCCACGCCGUAAACGUUGGGAACUAGGUGUUGGCGACAUUCCACGUCGUCGGUGCCGCAGCUAACGCAUUAAGUUCCCCGCCUGGGGAGUACGGCCGCAAGGCUAAAACUCAAAGGAAUUGACGGGGGCCCGCACAAGCAGCGGAGCAUGUGGCUUAAUUCGACGCAACGCGAAGAACCUUACCAAGGCUUGACAUAUACCGGAAAGCAUCAGAGAUGGUGCCCCCCUUGUGGUCGG
rnacentral:rRNA from 1 species